ensembl:miRNA gmo-mir-16b gmo-mir-16b
UAGCAGCACGUAAAUAUUGGAGUUUACACUGUCGCAUAUGCCUCCAGUAUUGAUCGUGCUGCUGA